CAGGCGUGAGCCACUGCGCCCAGCCAGAGCUACAGGUUUUACUCUAACACUUUAGAAGGUCCUUUUUCUUUGUACCUCUGUGAUGUGUUCACCUAGCAACAGCUUCUUUGAUAUGCAAACAUUCUACAGGCAAAUUGCUCAGAGCAGCCACUCAUGUUGGACAGUUCAGGUCUCUUCUGGAAACUGGCCUUGUAUUUGGAAUUUUCUCCAGAGUCUGAUGUGCUAAGAAAUCUUCAGAAAAAACUUUUCAUAAAAGAAACUUCACUGCAAGAGUUGAAGCCUGAGCUAGAAAGUUACAAAGAAAAUAAUGUACGACAGUCGUUCCAGAUAAUGUCCCUGAAAGAUAAUAUCAAGGACCUACAGGAACUUACUGCUUCUCUAACCAGAAUUAAGUAUUUGAGAAACACCAAUAUUCAGAGGCUUCAAAGAUGCAACUGGGAUUUAACUAAAUGAAUUAUUGAGCUAGAAAACUGUCUAAGAGUACGAGUACAUCUGGUUGAAAGAGAAAAGGCAGAGAGAAAAGCAGACUUUUUGGAGUUGUUCUCAGGCACUAACAGAUUCAUCCCUUAUAUGCAUAUGAAUGGACAAUAAGAUUUCUUGGAUAUUUUCAUGGCAAAGCUUUCCUUCUAUGUCUUGGUUUUACACGACAAGAAGCCCAGAAACUGAACUUGCUUACUCAGCUCCCGGGGUUGAAGGUGGCAAGAAGGUGAGAGCUAAAGCCUUUCAGCAGGAAAUCCAGAUGCUCACUAAGUGACUAGAGCAGCUGCAUCAUCUUUAAGAAGAAGGUGCUCAAGAAUCAUCCCAAGCUGAAGAAAAAAGUAUUGGGAACAAAAAAGACCCUUGAAAUGUCUAGAAAGAAAAAUUGAGAUCAAGGACUUUUUCAAGAGAGAUUAGACUUGGACAGGAAGAAAAUGGAGUCUCACUCUGUCACCCAGAGUGGAGUGCAAUGGUGUGAUCUCGGCUCACUGCAACCUCCGCCUCCCGGGUUCAAGCGAUUUUCCUGCCUCAGCCUCCCAAGUAGCUGGGAUUACAGAAUUUGCAGAUUGCUACUACGCAAAGAUUGGAGGAGAAAAUUCAGAAACUUCAGAAACAGCUCAGUGAUUUGAAAUUGUCAAAUAAAAAUAUGAAAACUCAGCUGACAAGAGUAAAUGUCCUUAAAGACAAAACAAUUGAAGAGCUCAGCCAAUCUUUAGCAAAUGUUGAAACGAUGAAAGAGAAGGCAAAUGUUGAAACGAUGAAAGAGAAGGCAGUUGUGAAAACAGAAAACUUGAAAACUACAUUAGACUCUGCAGAGCAAAAGGCAAGAUCAGACAAAGAGAAGACCCAGCAGAUGUUAGAUGCUGUCACUUCUGAGCCCCCAACAGCAAAGAGCACACCUGAAGAAGUAUCAGGACAAGAACAAGAGGCCUAUCCAGAGAUUCCAGUUCAGUUUGUGGUAUGAGGCUGAAGUAUGGAUAUUUUUUUCAAAGCUCCUUAAGUAUAUAAAUUGAUAAAAUUACUUUGGAAGACUGGCA